rnacentral:rRNA from 1 species
UACGUAGGGUGCAAGCGUUGUCCGGAAUUAUUGGGCGUAAAGGGCUCGUAGGCGGUUCGUCACGUCGGGAGUGAAAACUCGGAGCUUAACUCCGAAACUGCAUUCGAUACUGCCGUGCUUGAGGACUGGAGAGGAGACUGGAAUUUACGGUGUAGCGGUGAAAUGCGUAGAUAAUCGUAAGGAAGACCAGUGGCGAAGGCGGGUCUCUGGACAGUUCCUGACGUGAGGCACGAAGGUCAGGGGAGCAAACGGG